rnacentral:rRNA from 1 species
AUUGAUCGCUGGCGGCAGGCCUAACACAUGCAAGUCGAACGAGUGGCGGACGGGUGAGUAAUGUCUGGGAAACUGCCCGAUGGAGGGGGGUAACUACUGGAAACGGUAGCUAAUACCGCAUACCAUCGGAUGUGCCCAGAUGGGAUUAGCUAGUAGGUUGGGUAACGGCUAACCUAGGCGACGAUCCCUAGCUGGUCUGAGAGGCUGACCAGCCACACUGGAACUGAGACACGGUCCAGACGCAUACGGGAGGAAGCAGUGGGGAAUAUUGCACAAUGGGCGCAAGCCUGAUGCAGCCAUGCCGCGUGUAUGAAGAAGGCCUUCGGGUGGUAAAGUACUUUCAGCGGGUAGGCGUUACUCGCAGAAGAAGCACCGGCUAACUCCGUGCCAGCAGCCGCGGUAAUUC